GGGCGGGGGUUGGGGGCCGCGGGGUCCCUGCCCCACCCCUCUCCCCGCCCUCGGGCGCCAGCCCGGCCCCUCGCCCGCGGCCCGCCCGGGCUGUGACACAUCAGCACCGCCCUCGCGGCUGGGGCCCCGUAUUGUCCUCCGCUGCCUCACACCGCAUGCCCAGCCUCGCGUCUACUCAGCCCGGUGCCUGUCGCGCGUGGAAUCGCGUAAGAAAAGCCGAGUUUGUGGCUGGGGAGAGAAGGCCACCGUGCUGAGCUGGAUUUAGCGAAGACUGGUUUUGGGGACCGGAGAUCCCAGGACUCCCUUUGUUGGAGUUUUGCCCACGCGUUGUAAUUAAGCCUCGCACAAUAUGGUGAGAGUGGGCGUUGAUUCUGGAGACACCAGCUUUGUGCUCGUGUAAUGUAACAGGAGUGCCGUUGCUUUCUCAUUCUUACACGGCAGUUUCGUGUCAUUGAGUAGAAUUGUGCGGAAUGCUUUUAUGGAGUGAGGCUUCUGCGUUAAACUUGUGCUGAUUCCAGGUUGAUGACAAUUAGAAGCAUGCUUUCCACUGAACUUCCCGACAACAUUUGUUAUGCAGAAUGUCUCUGAGUGAGAACUCGGUUUUUGCCUAUGAAUCUUCUGUGCAUAGCACCAAUGUUUUACUCAGCCUUAAUGACCAGCGGAAGAAGGAUGUGCUGUGCGAUGUCACCAUCUUUGUGGAGGGUCAGCGGUUCCGCGCUCACCGGUCUGUGCUGGCGGCAUGCAGCAGUUACUUCCACUCGAGAAUCGUAGGCCAGGCUGAUGGAGAGCUGAACAUUACUCUUCCAGAAGAGGUGACAGUUAAAGGAUUUGAACCUUUAAUUCAGUUUGCCUACACUGCUAAACUGAUUUUAAGUAAAGAGAAUGUGGAUGAAGUGUGCAAAUGUGUGGAGUUUUUAAGUGUACACAAUAUUGAGGAAUCCUGCUUUCAGUUUCUGAAAUUUAAGUUUUUGGACUCCACUGCAGACCAGCAAGAAUGCCCAAGAAAAAAAUACUUUUCAUCACACUGUCAGAAAACAGACCUUAAACUUUCACUUUUGGACCAGAGGGAUCCAGAAACUGAUGAAGUGGAGGAAUUUCUGGAAAAUAAAAAUGUUCAGACUCCUCAGUGUAAACUCCGCAGGUAUCAAGGAAAUGCAAAAGCCUCACCUCCUCUACAAGACAGUGCCAGUCAGACAUAUGAGUCCAUGUGCUUAGAGAAGGAUGCUGCUCUGGCCUUGCCUUCUUUAUGCCCCAAAUACAGAAAAUUCCAAAAAGCAUUUGGAACUGACAGAGUCCGUACUGGGGAAUCUAGUGUCAAAGACAUUCAUGCUUCUGUUCAGCCAAAUGAAACGUCUGAAAAUGAAUGCCUGGGAGGAGUCCCGGAGUGUAGGGAUUUGCAGGUGAUGUUAAAAUGUGAGGAAAGUAAAUUAGCAAUGGAACCUGAAGAAACGAAGAAAGAUCCUGCUUCUCAGUGCCCAAUUGAAAAAUCAGAAGUGACUCCUUUCCCCCACAAUUCUUCCAUAGACCCUCAUGGACUUUAUUCUUUGUCUCUUUUACACACGUAUGACCAAUAUGGUGACUUGAAUUUUGCUGGUAUGCAAAACACAACAGUGUUAACAGAAAAGCCUUUGUCAGGUACAGACAUCCAAGAAAAAACAUUUGGCGAAAGUCAGGAUUUACCUUUGAAAUCCGACUUGGGCACCAGGGAAGAUAGUAGUCUUGCAUCUAGUGAUAGGAGUAGUGUGGAGCGAGAAGUGGCAGAACACCUAGCAAAAGGCUUCUGGAGUGACAUUUGCAGCACGGACACUCCUUGCCAAAUGCAGUUAUCACCUGCUGUGGCCAAAGAUGGCCCAGAACAGAUCUCACAGAAACGGUCUGAGUGUCCUUGGUUAGGUAUCAGGAUUAGUGAGAGCCCAGAACCAGGUCAAAGGACUUUUACAACAUUAAGUUCUGUCAACUGCCCUUUUAUAAGUACUCUGAGUACUGAAGGCUGUUCAAGCAAUUUGGAAAUUGGAAACGAUGAUUAUGUUUCAGAACCCCAGCAAGAACCUUGCCCAUAUGCUUGUGUCAUUAGCUUGGGAGAUGACUCUGAGACGGACACCGAAGGAGACAGUGAAUCCUGUUCAGCCAGAGAACAAGAAUGUGAGGUAAAACUGCCAUUCAAUGCACAACGGAUAAUUUCACUGUCUCGAAAUGAUUUUCAGUCCUUGUUGAAAAUGCACAAGCUUACUCCAGAACAACUGGAUUGUAUCCAUGAUAUUCGAAGAAGAAGUAAAAACAGAAUUGCUGCACAGCGCUGUCGCAAGAGAAAACUUGACUGUAUACAGAAUCUUGAAUCAGAAAUUGAGAAGCUAGGUUCUGUGGAAAAUCUGAUGUGCCAAGAAGUGUUCCAUACCAUUCUGAGAACUUUGGAUACCUGCUCAGACAGCUCUGUUUCAGCUAAACAGUAACAUCUGUGAGGGAAGCUUAAUGUGGAAUCAAGGAUGAAGUUUAACACAGGAAUGAAGAGUAGAGCACGUAGCUGCUAAGAUAAGCAUUUGAGAAGGAACUGGCCAAGAAGCAUUUUUGGAAUUCUUAGCUGACCACCCACCUCCAGCCUAAAGGCUGAAAAGACUAAGAAGAGUUUUUUGGAGAAGAUAGAGAAUUUUGUUAGAAAAUGUGGUAGUGCUGGGACUCUAACCUUCUUAAUAUUAGUGAGGGGGGCUAUGAGAUGCCCACUAAAAAAGCCUUGACAUGAGUCACUUAGAGUUUGGGAGACACAAAGGACUGGCAUGUUAUGCAUAAAAAAUAUUGCUUGAGUAGAUGGAUGAAACUUCUGUGGCAGCAGAAUAGAGUGGCAUUUGGGAAGAAGUAGAAUUGGCACUGGUAGGGGUAAAAGUUAUAGGACUUCAGCCACCAGAUGUGGAACCUAAAUGAGGACUGUUUGUCUGAGGUCAUUUCCAAGGGGAUCCUAUUCAACAGGGCUUCCUCCAGGGAGGGAGGCUGCUUUGAAAGAGAAAAUCUGAGAUUUACCCUCAGGUACAGAAGCUGAAGGAUUGCUCAUGGUCAACCAAUGGAGCUCUAAAAGAUGAGCAGGAAGCUGGGUGAAGAGGAAGCAUGUUUUGAGCCAAGGCAAUUGCAUAUGCAAAGGCUGAGGGAUGAGAGAGGGCCUCUUGUGGUUUAUUUGUAGAGCUGAAAGAUGUUUGAUGUGGUUGCAUUCCAUGUAUGUGUGGCCGGGGAUAAUGAGGGCUCCAGGUUGGAGGAGUGACAUGUGGUGAGUGAGGAGGGGGGUGAGAAGAGUCCAGACCUUCUCAGAUAUAUGAUGAAGUUUGACAUUUAUCUUAAGGACAAUGGGAAACUUCUGAAAGGUGUGAUAUGAUCAGUCCUGUGUUUCAUGGUUUAUUUUGGCUGCAGUGAGGAGAGUGGAUUGUGGAGUGGGAAGAGUGGAAUGGGAGAUACCAGUAAGAAGCCACAGCUGUAGUCAGACAAGAAGUUAGGUGGGCUGGACCAGGGAUGUGUUCGUGGGAAAUCAGAACAGUGGCCAGAUUCAUGAAACAUGGCAGAGAUGACUGUCCUGAGGUAGAAAAAGAGCUAGUAAAAAAGAUAGAACCACAGACGAUCCCCAGGUUCCUUUCUUGAACAACAGAAUGGAAGAUGUUUCUGUUCAAUGCGAUGGUGAACACGAGGUCAGAAGAGGUUUGUGGAACCAGGUGUUAAAUUCAAUGAUGAGUGUACUGCAGGCAAGGCAUGCUGUGCGGCACCCAUGUGGUGGUUGACGUGUAAGACUUCUGCUCAGGAGGAAGAUUUGGGCCAAAGCUUUACAUUUGUGCCUUUGGCAUAUGGUCCACUUUUGAAGCUAUGUGAGAGGAAAAGCUUGCCUGAAAAGAGUGUGUGUGGUGAACAGAGGAGACAGCCCAGGACAGACCCCAAAAGAAUACAGAUGAUUGGGAAAGAAGAACCCACAACGGAGAUAAGGAACACUAGAGGAGAAGGAAGAUCAGAAGCAAGCAAGAUCUUGCAGCAGCAAGAUUUAUUGCGAAGAGUGAAAGAACAAAGCUUCCACAGCGUGGAAGGGGACCGGAGCGGGUUGCCCCUGCUGACUGGGGUGGCCAGCUUUUAUUCCCUUAUUUGGCCGUGCCACAUCCUGCUGAUUGGUCCAUUUUACAGAGCACCGAUUGGUCCAUUUUACAGAGUGCUGAUUGGUCUGUUUUUGCAGAGUGCUGAUUGGUGCGUUUACAAACCUUUAGCUAGACACAGAGUGCUGAUUGGUCCGUUUUUACAGAGUGCUGUUUGGUGCGUUUACAAACCCAUAGUUAGACACAGAGCAAUGAUUGGUGCGUUUUUACAGAGUGCUGAUUGGUGCGUUUACAAACACUUAGCUAGACAUAGAGCAUUGAUUGGUGCGUUUUUACAGAGUGCUGAUUGGUGCAUUUACAAACCUUUAGCUAGACACAGAGUGCUGAUUGGUGUGUUUACAAUCCUUUAGCUGGACAGAAAAGUUCUCCAAAUCCCCACCCAACCCAGAAGCCCAGCCGGCUUCACCUCUCAAUACCCCCUCUAAACAGGACACCCCACUGCUGUUGGGAAUUGGGCGAUGACUGCUCUAGCUACUUCAUGCUGGAUAGAGGCAAAGAAGGGUCCCUGCAGUUGCAGUGUCCUCCAGAGGGGAACUCUCUAGGCCAGUGAAAGGGCCAGUGGGUUGGUCCAGGGGUCCUCAGUAGAAGUUGUUAGUUGAGCUCAUUUGGGGUUCCAUUUGUAAGACCAUCUGUAGCUUGAUGGCCUCUAUUCUAGAGGAAACAGAUUUGACAAGGAGGUUAAAAAUAAGGGUCCGAAGGCGAGUAAUAGCAAGAUGGCUGCCACAGGACCUAGAAAGGGGAGAAGCCAUGUUGCCCAACUACAGAGGUUGGUAUAAGAGUUUUGAAAGGCGUUGUCUGAUUUCAGAAGCCUUUUCCUGUAAACGCCAGGUGGCAUCUCGUACUAUCCCUGACUGGUUAGUGUAAAAACAACAUUCUUGCCCUAAGAAGUUGCAGAGUCCUCCUUUCUCAGCAGUGAGGAGGUCUAGGCCUUGGUGGUUUUGGAGAGUCACUGCUGCCAAAGAGUCUAUUUGGGAUUGUAGAGUAAGGAUAGAUUUCGUUAUUUCUUGCAAACUAUCUGAGAAAUCCUUUGAGAGUGUGUGGUAGUAGGAUAAUGAAGUAGAUAAACUGGCUAUUCCAGUUCCUGUAGCAGUAGCCAUUCCUAACCCUAUUAAGUAGGGGUAUUAAUUGUAUGGCUCUGCACUGACGGACUUGAGCUUUGAGGGGAACAGAUAGGGUCUGAUUUCCUAAGAUUAGAAGUUACUACAAUACAUGUUACACUGUUAACUUUUAGCAAACUUUUGUUGAAAACCUUGUAAGUUUGGGGUUUUAAUUUUUCUUUGCUAUUAAUAAAACCUCAUUCAGUCCAUAUUAACUUAGAAUUGGUAUAGAUGGCUCCUUCCUGAUUCUGUAAGUACUUUAAGGUUUGGCUGAGUGCAAACAGCUGCAUGUUUGAACAGACCAAUUAUUAGGCAAUUUUCCUAACUGCUUCUACAAGAGUUUCCUUAUCACUUACUGAAUACCCAUUGUGUCUUUUUUCCUUAGUCGCUGGGAAGGAACCAUCUAUCAUCCUGUCCUGAAGGGAGUUCCUCCUAGAUCUGGUCAGACCUUUGUAUGGUAAUUAAUUAAGAUUUAGAUCCCUGUUAGGAAACCUGCUGGGUUAAGGAUUUUUGAUAGGAAGGCUAUGGGUUGUCAGUGGCUUCAGUGCUUUCAGGCUACACCCUUGUUUACACUGACAACAAGGUGAUAUUGGAGUGUUAUAGGGUUACAGAGAAGACCUUCAAUUAUCAAUUUUAGGUUUUAAAUUUACCCUGGCUUUUAAUGGAAUAGGGUACACUGUUUUUCCUUUACUACUUGUAUCUCUUUCUCUCUCUUUGACUUCUUCUUUGUCUGUCUCUUUCUUUCUCUCUCUCCUUUCUGUUGCCUCUGCCAGCUGCGUAUGCUGCUGUUUUCCCCUCUCCUUCCCCUUUUGAUGGCUUUGGCAGUGUAAGACUGCCACCUCCUUGGGUUUUUGCACUGCAUGCAAUAACUCCAUGGUUUCUUUGUGAUAUUUAACGGGGGUUCCCCCAGAGGUUAGUAACUCCCUUUCUUUCCAUAUUGCAGCAUGGGUAUGUAGGAUUAGAUAAGCAUACUUGCUAUCUGUAUAUACAUUUAUUCUUCUUCCCUUUCCCAGUUCUAAGGCUUGGGUCAGUGCCACUAGUUCUGCUAACGGGGCGCUGGUCCCUGGGGGAAGAGGCUUACUUUCAAGUACUGUUACUAUGGCAUAAACUGCCCUUCGUAUCCCAUUCUCCACAAAUGAACUUCCAUCGGUAUAUAAGUUAAGGUCAGGAUUAGCUACGGGGACGUCUAAGAGAUCAUGUCAGGCGGCGUAAGUCUGGACUAUAAUUUGUUGGCAGUCGUACUCGAUUGGUUCCCCAUCCUCUGGGAGAAAAGUGGCAGGGUUGAGGGCCACGCAUGUAUGUAUUUGAAGCAUCAGUCGCUCAAUGAGUAGCACCUGGUAUCUGAGUAGGUGGUUGUCUGACAGCCAUAAACUUCCUUUGGCACCUAGUGUGCCAUUUAUAUCAUGAGUAGUCCAGACAGUGAGAUCUUUUCCUUGUAUUAUUUUGAUAGCCUUUGACACUAAGACGGCCACUGCCACAACUACCCUUAAAGAGUGAGGCCAGCCUUUUGCUACUACAUCAUUUCCUUACUUAGGUAUGCCACUGGUUGUGGGGUUGCCCCAUGAGUCUGAGUAAGGACUCCAAGAGCCAUCCCUGUUCUCUCUGUGAUGCAUAAAGAAAAGUUUCAUCCUGUGGGAAGGCUUAAAGCUGGAGCUUGAGUUUGUUCCUUCCAAUGCCCAGACUUCAGUGUUGAUUCCCUCCUCAAGUAGGGGACAACAAAUGGGUAACUCGUUCCCCAUAUUCAUGUAGAUAAUAGCUCCAGCUUUGGCUACUCCUACUGGAUCUAGUGGAGUCAGUGUGAUCUGCUUCUCCCACUCACCUAGUCCCCACAUGCCUUGAGAGCUAGUCCCUGUGGUCUGGUGUCCACCCCUCAUUUCUUCUGCCCUUUCCUUAUACUUCCCUGCUGGAGUGACUGGAAGUGGGGAUGCUCGUCCCUGGACACAGGGGAGAGGGAGGGCCCUUGGGGUUGUCACUUCCUCUGCCCUUUCCUUCAUGGGUGGGGCAGGAAGGGCACAUUUGAUGUUAGCAAUUCAGCGUAAAAGUGAAAACUAAUUUGGCCUCAAGAUUUAAGAGUCAUCCAAACAACAGCUACAGGGCUAAUAUCUUCAAUCUUUACACAUCUGACAAUAUCCAAUAAAAAGAACACCAAACUACAGCAAGACAAAGGAGCAACAGACAUGGGCCUGCAGAGGACAAAAGAGAAAACAGGAGCACUCAGUAACCAGGAACUCAGGGACUUUGGAGGCAACCUGUGUGGGUUAAACAUGCUCUUGAAGAUUUUUAUCAUUAUUUCUCAUUAGAAAUAUAAAAAGUGGGCUGGGUGCUGUGGCUCACGCCUGUAAUCCCAGCACUUUGGGAGGCCGAGGCAAGUGGAUCACGAGAUCAGGAGUUCAAGACCAGCCUGGCCAACAUGGUGAAACCUCAUCUCUACUAAAAAUCCGAAAAUUAGCCGGGUGUGGUGGAGGGCGCCUGUAAUCCCAGCUACUGGGGAGGCUGAAGCAGGAGGAUUGCUUGACCUCAGGAGGCAGAGGUUGCAGUAAGCUGAGAUCACACCACUGCACUCCAGCCUGGGUGACAGAGUGAGACUCUGUCUCAGAAUAAGAAAGAAAGAAAGAAAGAAAUGUAAAAAGUGCUAAAUAGAAAGAAGUAAAAAAUAUAUCAAAUUAGAAAACAAAAAAUGAGGGGGAGUGAAACUGGCAUUCUAACACAAGGGGGGUAGUAUUUAAAAUAGCUUUUAUGCUUUGGGGAAACAAUUUGAUAUUUUAUUUAAAACAUUUUAAACUAGCCAUAACAUUUGACCCAGUAAUUGUAUGCCAAGGAAUCCAUCCUGAAAAACAAUAAUCUUAAAUUUUAGGACUAUUAUUAAUCAAUAAUAAUAAUAAUAAUAAUAAAAAUUUCUUCUUAUAUCAAGAUGUCCAUCAUAGCAUUUAUCAUAGUAAAUAAUUUUGAAUAAACUUUUGGAAAUGGAAAAAAGCAAAGCACUAUAUUGUAUCUCUACUCAAACUAAGAUUUGACACUGUACUCAGCUCUUUUUAUAAUUUUUUCACUUAAUCCUCACAGUAAAAUCAAAUGUUUGACACAAUGAUUGUCCCUUUAUGAGUUUUCAGCUAACAAAAUGUUUAUGGUAAACAUGGAAUAAAAUGAAAAAUACUCAUGACAGGUGCUAAACAUGAAAGCAAGUGAUUUACGUAUCCAGUACGAUUAUAACCAGGUAUAUCAAAAUCUCUCUGUGAAUAAAAAAAUACUGAAGUCCAUCUGGGGUGAACAGUUGUUAUUUAUUAAAAUUUGCUUUUGCGAGUACUCAUGAAUCUUGAGACAAUAACCACCACCACGAUCGUAAAACUAUCAAACAUGAUUUUAAGCAAAGAAAGAAAUGGGAAAAACCGUGAAAGGAAAAUAAAUCUCAAGACUCCAGAAUCACUAAGCCAAAGGGAAAAGUCAAGCUCGGAACUGCAUCAGACAAACCUGCCUCUGAUUUUAUUCCUAAAUAAAAUAACUACAAAGAAAAAAAUAAAAAUAAAAAAGCUACAUACCUCCCUCACAAUUUGCCCACAAGGAAACUCCUUGUGAGCCUCAAGAUCUUUACCCUAAAACAGUUCUGUUGAACUUCAUCCUGGCCAUAUUAAUUGAUACCUUAUCUUCACAGGCCCAGGACAGAGGACAGACAGAACUCUUGAUCAUUGCUCUGCUCACCUGUGACAAAUGCAUUUCUCAUUGCUUCCUCUGACCUAUUUUUUAUGUAAAAAUGCAGAUUGACUGAGUCAGACUAAGGCAUCAGUGACUAUUCCUCUAUCCAUUCCACCUUACAUGUAUUCAGUGAAAGGCUGAUCAAAGACCCCAAAGAAUGAAACCUUUUGUCCCUUAUCUACCUCUGACCUGGAAGCCCUUACUUUGAGUUGUCCCACCUUUCUGGACCAAACCAAUGUACAUCUUAUGCAUAUCGAUUGAGGUCUCAUCAAUGUAUAAAAUCAAGCUAAAAUGUAUAAAACCAAGCUGUGCCCUGACCACUUGGGUACAUAUCAUCAUGUACCCAAGACUUCCUGACGCUGUCACAGGCACGUCCUUAGCCUUGGCAGAUAAACUUUCUAAAUUAAUUGAGACCUGUCUCAAAUACUUUGGGCUCACAAAACGUAGCUGUCCGUCAGGCAGAUAUCUAAAAGCAAGAAGUGGUAUUUUUACUCAGCUAAAAGCUGCUAUCUUGGCGGCGGCCUCAGAGGCCUUCCACAAUGAACUCCCUCCCCAACCCUCUGGCCUCAUUCCCAGGCCCCUGUCCUCUCCUGGGAACUCCUGGGAAUGUCAUGUUUGUCCCAUUGUCAUCUUGUCAGUGAGGCUCCCCUGACUGCCCACAUUAAGACUGCAUCUGGCCAGGCGCAGUGGCUCACGCCUGUAAUCCCAGCACUUUGGGAGGCCGAGGUGGGUGGAUCACCUGAGGUCAGGAGUUCAAGACCAGCCUGGCCAACAUGGCGAAACCCUGUCUCUACUAAAAAUACAAAAAUUACCCGGGUGUGGUGGCGCACACCUGUAAUCCCAGCUGCUCAGGAGGCUGAGACAGGAGAAUCGCUUGAACCCACGAGGUGGAGGUUGCAGUGAGCCGAGAUGGCACCACUGCACUCUAGCCUGGGGCAACAGAGCAAGACCCUGUCUCAAAAAAAAAAAAAAAAAACCGCAUGCUUCCUCCUUCCUACCAUUCUACCUCCAAUCCCCAUCCCCAUAUCCUGCCCUCUUGUUUUCUCUCUUUGUAAUGCCUGCCACCUCCCAACAUAGUAAAGAAUGAGCUCAUUUACUUAGUCUAGUGUUUAAUGUCUGUCUCACUCCACUAGAAUGUAAGCAUCA